rnacentral:rRNA from 1 species
AGCUCCAAUAGCGUAUAUUAAAACUGUUGCGGUUAAAACGCUCGUAGUUGGAUAUUUGUUGGAGAGCUCUGGUCCACCCAAGCGGUGCGUACUUGGUGCUUCUUUGACAUCUUACUGGAGAAUGUACGUGCGCUUCACUGCGUGUGUGCACGAAUCAGGACUUUUACUUUGAGGAAAUGAGAGUGUUUCAAGCAGGCCAUUGCCAUGAAUACGUUAGCAUGGAAUAAUAACAUAGGACCUUGAGUCGUUGUUGUUGGUUCACGGCGCAAGGUAAUAAAAAUAGGG